rnacentral:rRNA from 1 species
AUACGGAGGGUGCAAGCGUUAUCCGGAAUCAUUGGGUUUAAAGGGUCCGCAGGCGGAUUAAUAAGUCAGUGGUGAAAUCCUCCCGCUCAACGGGAGAACUGCCAUUGAAACUGUUAGUCUUGAAUUCGGUCGAAGUGGGCGGAAUAUGUCAUGUAGCGGUGAAAUGCAUAGAUAUGACAUAGAACACCGAUAGCGAAGGCAGCUCACUAGACCUGGAUUGACGCUCAGGGACGAAAGCGUGGGGAGCGAACAGGAUUAGAUACCCUAGUAGUCC